GAUAAGAUAUGUAGAGCAGAAGGUGGAUGCCUUGGCAACGGACGGCGAUGAAGGACGUAGUAAGUUGCGAUAAGCCUCGGGGAGUCGCUUAACAGGCUUUGAUCCGGGGAUUUCCGAAUGGGAAAACCUGACCGAGCAAACCUUGGUCAUGCCAUUGUGAAUAUAUAGCAAUGGUAGGCUAACGGGGGGAAGUGAAACAUCUCAGUACCCCCAGGAAAAGAAAUCAACCGAGAUUCCCCUAGUAGCGGCGAGCGAACGGGGAACAGCCUAAACCGAAGAGAUUUUCUCUUCGGGGUUGCGGGACCUCAGCAUGGGACUUUGAAGGGUAGCAGAACAGUCUGGAAAGUCUUGCCACAGAAGGUGAUAGCCCUGUAUGCGAAACCCCGAGAAGCCCUAGAGGGAUCCCAAGUACUCCGGCACACGUGGAAUGUUGGAGGAAUCUGGGUGGACCACCAUCCAAGGCUAAAUACGUGCCGUUGACCGAUAGUGAACCAGUACCGUGAGGGAAAGGUGAAAAGAACCCCAAUGAGGGGAGUGAAAUAGAAUCUGAAACCAUCUGCUUGUAACCAGUGGAAGGGCUAUGUCCAUUUAUGGAAAUGCCUGACCGCGUGCCUUUUGCCUAAUGAGCCUGCGAGUUAUCUUCAGUGGCCUGAUUAAGCCGUACAGGUGUAGUCGUAGCGAAAGCGAGUCUGAAUAGGGCGCCAGUCACUGGGGAUAGACCCGAAGCGAAUCGAUCUAUCCAUGGCCAGGGUGAAGCAGAGAGAAAACCUUUGUGGAGGCCCGAACCGGUCAGGGGUGAAAACCUGUCGGAUGAGCUGUGGAUCGGAGUGAAAGGCUAAUCAAGAUUCGUGAUAGCUGGUUCUCCCCGAAAUAUAUUUAGGUAUAGCCUUGUGUGAUGACUAGCGGAGGUAGAGCACUGAUUGGACUAGGGGGUCGAAAGAUCUACCAAACCCAGACAAACUCCGAAUGCCGCUAGGUUAGCACAGGAGUCAGUCGGUGGGAGAUAAGUCCCAUCGGCGAAAGGGAAACAGCCCAGACCGCCGGCUAAGGCCCCUAAAUACGAACUAAGUGGUAAAGGAUGUGAAUUGGCAUAGACAGCCAGUAGGUAGGCCCAGAAGCAGCCACCCUUUAAAGAGUGCGUAACAGCUCACUGGUCGAUGCGGAUUUGCGCCGAAAAUGAAACGGGGCUAAGUUCGUUGCCGAAGCCGCGGGUUGCGUAUUUAUACGCAGCGGUAGGGGAGCGUUCCCAACGGGUCGAAGGGUUACCGUAAGGAAGCCUGGACUGUUGGGAAGUGAGAAUGCAGGCAUGAGUAGCGAUAAAGGUGGUGAGAAUCCACCUCGCCGUAAACCCAAGGUUUCCUGGGCAAGGCUCGUCCUCCCAGGGUAAGUCGGGACCUAAGGCGAGGCCGAAAGGCGUAGUCGAUGGAAAACGGGUUAAUAUUCCCGUACCAUUCGGUCUGAGUGAUGGAGUGACGGAGAAGGAUAGGUCAUCCGGGUGAUGGAUAUCCCGGUUCAAGCUUGUAGGAGGAAAGGACAAGCAAAACCUCCUUUCAUACUCUGAGAAGCGAGUACGAGAGGCAUUAGCCUCGUAAAGUGAUUGAGUCCAUGCUUCCAAGAAAAGCUUCUAAACGUUGACGACCGAGUGCCCGUACCGAAACGGACACACGUGGGUGAGUUGAGAAUACUAAGGCGCGUGAGAGAACUUUGGCUAAGGAACUCGGCAAAUUAACCCCGUAACUUCGGAAUAAGGGGUACCCAUAUGUACGUGAAAGCCCUCGCGGCUGGAGCGGAAAUGGGUCGCAGUGAAUUGGCGGUAACGACUGUUUACUAAAAACACAGGGCUCUGCAAACACGCAAGUGGACGUAUAGGGUCUGACUCCUGCCCAGUGCCGGACGGUUAAGGGGAUGGGUUAUCUUCGGAGAAGCUCAGAACCGAAGCCCCGGUAAACGGCGGCCGUAACUAUAACGGUCCUAAGGUAGCGAAAUUCCUUGUCGGGUAAGUUCCGACCUGCAUGAAAGGAGUAACGAUUGCCGCACUGUCUCGGCCAAAGACUCAGCGAAAUUGUGGUUCCGGUGAAGACGCCGGAUACCCGCUACGGGACGGAAAGACCCCGUGCACCUUUACUAUAACUUAGCAUUGAGUUUUGGUGCUGCAUGCGUAGGAUAGGUGGGAGCCUGUGAAACUUCGCUUCAGGGCGGAGUGGAGGCAAUGGUGAAAUACCACCCUUGUAGUUCUGGAAUUCUAACUUAGGUCCGUUAUCCGGAUCAAGGACAAUGUUAGGCGGGUAGUUUGACUGGGGCGGUCGCCUCCUAAAAGGUAACGGAGGUGUGCAAAGGUUCCCUCAGCUUGAUUGGAAACCAAGCGCAGAGUGCAAAGGCAUAAGGGAGCUUGACUGUGAGACUGACAGGUCGAGCAGGUGCGAAAGCAGGUCUUAGUGACCCGGUGGUUCUGUGUGGAAAGGCCAUCGAUCAACGGAUAAAAGGUACGCCGGGGAUAACAGACUUAUCUCCCCCAAGAGUUCACAUCGACGGGGAGGUUUGGUACCUCGAUGUCGGCUCAUCGCAUCCUGGGGCUGGAGAAGGUCCCAAGGGUUGGGCUGUUCGCCCAUUAAAGCGGUACGCGAGCUGGGUUCA
rnacentral:rRNA from 1 species